rnacentral:rRNA from 1 species
AUAUUGCACAAUGGAGGAAACUCUGAUGCAGCGACGCCGCGUGAGUGAAGAAGGUCUNNNGAUCGNACAACUCUGUCCUUGGUNAAGNAAAAAUGACGGUAGCCAAGGAGGAAGCCCCGGCUAACUACGUGCCAGCAGCCGCGGUAAUACGUAGGGGGCGAGCGUUGUCCGGAUUUACUGGGCGUAAAGGGUGAGUAGGCGGUUAUAUAUGUCAGAUGUAAAAGGCUAUGGCUUAACCAUAGUUAGCAUUUGAAACUGUAUGACUUGAGUGCAGGAGAGGUAAGUGGAAUUCCUAGUGUAGCGGUGAAAUGCGUAGAUAUUAGGAGGAACACCAGUGGCGAAGGCGACUUACUGGACUGUAACUGACGCUGAGUCACGAAAGCGUGGGUAGCAAACAGG